CCCACACCCCAAACCAGAACACCUGCGCUGCCUCUGAGGUCUUCAGAAAGUCACCUGACCCUCAGAGCUACAGGGAGCAGCACCGUGGAGGAGGCUUGGAGUGCAAGGGGGGCCGAUGUCAGCUGGUCUCUCCACCACCAGCACCUGGCACCCAGUAAAUGUUCCGAAAAUGUCUGUUGCGUCGGCCUGAACCAAACUGGAUUAAUAAAUCAACAAUCAAUGACCAAUCAAUAAAGCCAAGGAGAUGAAA